rnacentral:sRNA from 1 species
GCUGGAGCUGCGGGGUUACCAUGGGAACCGAACCGCCGCGCCUCGCCCAGGACAGGUACACUUAGAGGCCUUUUGUGUCCAGCUGGGCAGAAGUGCUGCACCACAGGCUGUGGUCGGAUCUGCUGAGACAUUCCUAAGGGGAGGAAAAGAGAUUGCCUUAGGGUUAUUCGGAAACAAUCCUGUUUGAAAAGGUGCAUCACUGAUGAGACAUGUCCAGGUGUAAAGAAAUGCUGCACGCUUGGCUGCAACAAGAGCUGUGUAGUCCCAAUCUCUAAACAGAAGCUGGCAGAGUUUGGUGGUGAAUGUCCUGCUGACCCCCUUCCGUGUGAGGAGCUGUGUGAUGGGGAUGCAUCCUGUCCCCAGGGGCAUAAAUGCUGCAGCACCGGCUGUGGCCGCACCUGCCUUGGAGACAUUGAGGGAGGGCGGGGCGGUGAUUGUCCAAAAGUUCUGGUGGGCCUGUGCAUUGUUGGCUGUGUGAUGGAUGAGAAUUGUCAAGCUGGAGAAAAAUGUUGCAAGUCAGGCUGUGGCCGCUUCUGUGUCCCACCAGUCCUGCCCCCAAAACUGACCACGAACCCCAACUGGACUGUGAGGUCUGAUUCUGAAUUAGAGAUCCCGGUGCCCUAGCUGUGCUGAUUUGUCUGGAGCUUCUUUGGUAAUUCUGGAAGCUUUUCCUGGCAGUCAAGAGGGUGACAUCCUGGGGCUUGUGACAUUUCCAGGGGCACUCAUGGCCCUCUCUGCUCUGCUU